rnacentral:rRNA from 1 species
AUUGAACGCUGGCGGCAGGCCUAACACAUGCAAGUCGAGCGGAUGAAGGGAGCUUGCUCCUGGAUUCAGCGGCGGACGGGUGAGUAAUGCCUAGGAAUCUGCCUGGUAGUGGGGGAUAACGUCCGGAAACGGGCGCUAAUACCGCAUACGUCCUGAGGGAGAAAGUGGGGGAUCUUCGGACCUCACGCUAUCAGAUGAGCCUAGGUCGGAUUAGCUAGUUGGUGGGGUAAAGGCCUACCAAGGCGACGAUCCGUAACUGGUCUGAGAGGAUGAUCAGCCACACUGGAACUGAGACACGGGCCAGACUACUACUGGGAGCAGCAGUGGGGAAUAUUGGAAAAUGGGCGAAAGGCUUAUCCAGCAAUGCCGCGUGUGUGAAGAAGGUCUUCGGAUUGUAAAGUACUUUAAGUUGGGAGGAAGGGCAGUAAGUUCAUACCUUGCUGCUUUGACGUUACCAACAGAAUAAGCACCGGCUAACUUCGUG